ACGGGAGGCAGCAGUGGGGAAUAUUGGGCAAUGGGCGAAAGCCUUACCCAGCAAUGCCGCGUGAGUGAAGAAGGUCUUCGGAUUGUAAAGCUCUUUGAUUGGGGACGAAACAAAUGACGGUACCCAAAGAACAAGCCCCGGCUAACUACGUGCCAGCAGCCGCGGUAAUACGUAGGGGGCAAGCGUUGUUCGGAAUGACUGGGCGUAAAGGGUGUGUAGGCGGUUGAUUAAGUUGGAAGUGUAAUACCCAGGGCUUAACCCGGGUGCUGCUUCCAAGACUGGUUGACUUGAGUGCAGGAGAGGAAAGCGGAAUCCCUAGUGUAGCGGUGGAAUGCGUAGAUAUUAGGAGGAACACCAGAGGCGAAAGCGGCUUCCUGGGCUUUAACUGACGCUGAGGCUCGAAAGCGUGGGGAGCAAACAGGAUUAGAUACCCUGGUA
rnacentral:rRNA from 1 species